CGCGACGCCGCGUGGGGGAUGAAGCCCUGCGGGGUGUAAACCCCUGUNGGGGGGGACGAUGCGGUACUGGGUUAANAGCUCAGUACCGUGACGGUACCCCCAGAGGAAGGGACGGCUAACUACGUG
rnacentral:rRNA from 1 species